AUGAAAAAGACUCCUCCAAAGACUUUUAUGCCCAAGUGAAACCCUGCAGACUCAGAAGGGCAGAAACCACCUCUUCUUCCCUCAUGCCAAAGGAAUUACUGGAUUCAAAUGACCCACAGAGAAAAGGCCAAGUGCUAACUGAGCAGGCUGAUACAACACAUGAGUCAAAUGAUGUGACCUAUGCCCAGCUGUGCAUCCUGACACCAAGAGAGGGCAGGUGAACCUUUCAGCUUCCAGGCAGAAAAGUCCCUCCUGAGAAGCUCCUCUGUUGUCUAUCAGCCUGGGAAGAUCCAGACCCUGAAUUCCAUGGAAGAAGGGUGGAUUCAGAAAUUUCAUAUAACAAAAUCUCCCUCAAGUGCACAACCAUUGGGCGGACAUAACCAGUCUCUAGGAAAAUCUGAUAACUUUGGGAACUCUGAUUCUGUUGUCCCUGCAUUUAAUAAAUAAGGAAAGCGCUUUGUCAGUGACCAACAGAUAAAAUAAGAAAAGAGAAGAGGAAUAAAGAAAGUUAUUGGUUUUGUGUU